UUCGACACACUAUCAUUAACUGAAUCCAUAGGUUAAUGAGGCGAACCGGGGGAACUGAAACAUCUAAGUACCCCGAGGAAAAGAAAUCAACCGAGAUUCCCCCAGUAGCGGCGAGCGAACGGGGAGCAGCCCAGAGUCUGAAUCAGUGUGUGUGUUAGUGGAAGCGUCUGGAAAGGCGCGCGAUACAGGGUGACAGCCCCGUACACAAAAAUGCACAUGCUGUGAGCUCGAUGAGUAGGGCGGGACACGUGGUAUCCUGUCUGAAUAUGGGGGGACCAUCCUCCAAGGCUAAAUACUCCUGACUGACCGAUAGUGAACCAGUACCGUGAGGGAAAGGCGAAAAGAACCCCGGCGAGGGGAGUGAAAAAGAACCUGAAACCGUGUACGUACAAGCAGUGGGAGCCUCUUUUAUGGGGUGACUGCGUACCUUUUGUAUAAUGGGUCAGCGACUUAUAUUCUGUAGCAAGGUUAACCGAAUAGGGGAGCCGAAGGGAAACCGAGUCUUAACUGGGCGUUAAGUUGCAGGGUAUAGACCCGAAACCCGGUGAUCUAGCCAUGGGCAGGUUGAAGGUUGGGUAACACUAACUGGAGGACCGAACCGACUAAUGUUGAAAAAUUAGCGGAUGACUUGUGGCUGGGGGUGAAAGGCCAAUCAAACCGGGAGAUAGCUGGUUCUCCCCGAAAGCUAUUUAGGUAGCGCCUCGUGAAUUCAUCUCCGGGGGUAGAGCACUGUUUCGGCAAGGGGGUCAUCCCGACUUACCAACCCGAUGCAAACUGCGAAUACCGGAGAAUGUUAUCACGGGAGACACACGGCGGGUGCUAACGUCCGUCGUGAAGAGGGAAACAACCCAGACCGCCAGCUAAGGUCCCAAAGUCAUGGUUAAGUGGGAAACGAUGUGGGAAGGCCCAGACAGCCAGGAUGUUGGCUUAGAAGCAGCCAUCAUUUAAAGAAAGCGUAAUAGCUCACUGGUCGAGUCGGCCUGCGCGGAAGAUGUAACGGGGCUAAACCAUGCACCGAAGCUGCGGCAGCGACGCUUAUGCGUUGUUGGGUAGGGGAGCGUUCUGUAAGCCUGUGAAGGUGUGCUGUGAGGCAUGCUGGAGGUAUCAGAAGUGCGAAUGCUGACAUAAGUAACGAUAAAGCGGGUGAAAAGCCCGCUCGCCGGAAGACCAAGGGUUCCUGUCCAACGUUAAUCGGGGCAGGGUGAGUCGACCCCUAAGGCGAGGCCGAAAGGCGUAGUCGAUGGGAAACAGGUUAAUAUUCCUGUACUUGGUGUUACUGCGAAGGGGGGACGGAGAAGGCUAUGUUGGCCGGGCGACGGUUGUCCCGGUUUAAGCGUGUAGGCUGGUUUUCCAGGCAAAUCCGGAAAAUCAAGGCUGAGGCGUGAUGACGAGGCACUACGGUGCUGAAGCAACAAAUGCCCUGCUUCCAGGAAAAGCCUCUAAGCAUCAGGUAACAUCAAAUCGUACCCCAAACCGACACAGGUGGUCAGGUAGAGAAUACCAAGGCGCUUGAGAGAACUCGGGUGAAGGAACUAGGCAAAAUGGUGCCGUAACUUCGGGAGAAGG
rnacentral:rRNA from 1 species